UACAGAGACUGCAAGCGUUAUUCGGAUUCACUGGGCGUAAAGGGUGCGCAGGCGGUUGGGUGUGUCAGAUGUGAAAGCCCUUGGCUCAACUGAGGAAGUGCACCCGAAACUGAAUGGCUUGAGUACUAAAGAGGGUCGCGGAAUUCCCGGUGUAGAGGUGAAAUUCGUAGAUAUCGGGAGGAACACCGGUGGCGAAGGCGGCGACCUGGGUAGAUACUGACGCUGAGGCGCGAAAGCGUGGGGAGCAAACAGG
rnacentral:rRNA from 1 species